rnacentral:rRNA from 1 species
ACGGAGGGUGCAAGCGUUAAUCGGAAUUACUGGGCGUAAAGCGCACGUAGGCUGCUUUGUAAGUCAGGGGUGAAAUCCUACGGCUCAACCGUGGAACUGCCUUUGAUACUGCUUAGCUUGAAUCCGGGAGAGGGUGGCGGAAUUCCAGGUGUAGGAGUGAAAUCCGUAGAUAUCUGGCGGAACAUCAGUGGCGAAGGCGGCCACCUGGACCGGUAUUGACGCUGAGGUGCGAAAGCGUGGGGAGCAAACAG